GUGUCAGCCGCCGCGGUAAUACAGAGGUCCCAAGCGUUGUUCGGAUUCACUGGGCGUAAAGGGUGCGUAGGUGGUUUGGUAAGUCUGAUGUGAAAUCUCCGAGCUUAACUCGGAAAUGGCAUUGGAUACUAUCGAGCUAGAGGAUUGGAGGGGAGACUGGAAUUCUCGGUGUAGCAGUGAAAUGCGUAGAUAUCGAGAGGAACACCAGUGGCGAAGGCGAGUCUCUAGACAAUUCCUGACACUGAGGCACGAAAGCUAGGGGAGCAAACAGGAUUAGAUACCCCCGUAGUCC
rnacentral:rRNA from 1 species